UACGAAGGGGGCUAGCGUUGCUCGGAAUCACUGGGCGUAAAGCGCACGUAGGCGGCUUCUUAAGUCAGGGGUGAAAUCCUGGAGCUCAACUCCAGAACUGCCUUUGAUACUGAGAGGCUCGAGUCCGGGAGAGGUGAGUGGAACUCCGAGUGUAGAGGUGAAAUUCGUAGAUAUUCGGAAGAACACCAGUGGCGAAGGCGGCUCACUGGACUGGUAUUGACGCUGAGGUGCGAAAGCGUGGGGAGCAAACGGGGAUUAGAUACCCUGAGUCGUACGAAGCAACCAAGUCCUUCUCG
rnacentral:rRNA from 1 species